CCUGCGCGGGAUGAGCACAAAUCGGUGUCGCGCAUUGCGGAGGAGAUGCGCGAGCGACUUCCGCGUCCUUCGCAGUCCUCUCGGCUGUGACUGGAUUUGAGGCUUUUCUGCGUCCUCAAAAACUAUGAGCAACCUGCGACGGGAAUCUGGGAUUCGAGGGCUCAGACUGGGUAUCACCUGGAGCAAAGCUCUGGAGUGACCCGCACCAUGAAGACCCAAAACUCCAGAGGCGUUACAUCAUCGUCACCUUCCCGCCGGCGAAAGCCUCGCUUUACGUUACGGGGUCGGAAGAAGAAGGACGGCGUGAUCCAAGGCAAGCUUCGCCUACGUUCUAUUGCUGGAGCCUUCCUGGUGCUGGGGAUCAUUGUGGUCACGGUGGGCACCGCUCUGGCCGUGGCCGGAUACCGAAUCUCACGUUUGUCCAUUCUGGGAGCCGCAGAGGGCAGUCGUGUUUCUGAACCUCAAGGGAAUUGGAGUCUGGGAGCUAAGGGCUUCCUGUCAACAGUCAGCAUGAUCCACUGCGAGCGGAUGAAGCUGCUGGGUCCUGUCAUCAUGGGGGUGGGACUCUUCAUCCUCAUCUGUGCCAACACAGUCCUGUAUGAGAACCGUGACAGAGAGACUCAGAUGCUGCUGGCUCAGAUGCGCAGUGUAAUCUGCUCCGUGUCUGCUGCCGUGCCCUCAGCGGACCUUCAACAAAUGGCAGUAGCCAACUCCAUGUCCAAACAUCACUGGGUGAGCAGUUUGCCAGCUGCCCAGCUCAACAGCUUCUGUCGGCAACAGCUGGUCAGUUCCGAACCCCUGCUGCAGACUAGAGCCGCUGGCAACCAGGGGGGCAGAGUGGAAGGCGUCUACCAGCAAGCGGUCCUGCAGACGGAAGCCCUCCAUCAUCAAGUGUCAGCGCCCCCGGCUUCGACCCAUUCCUCCUCCCGUAACUCCAGCCAGGUGGACUUCAACACACAGUUUGAAACUGAGCUGAGUUUUAACACCCAAACCGACACCGAACUUGUAAAGCUCAAUAACUGCCUGAUGUCUGCCGCCUCCAUGUCCACCCUGGGGGUGGACGACGUGGACAUUCCGGUCGCUCAGCCUCGGCGCUGCCAUAGUAUGAGCUACAGGACUAAACCUCACAUAGCUCAAACUCCUUUGUCCGUGACAAAAGCGCUCCAUAGAGAGGAAAGUGACACCGAUCAACCAGUAACGAGAAAAGAACCUCUUGCACGAGUUUGCGUUAACAUUCCCGAACAGGUCGCGGCUGCCACGGAGGAGCACGCUCACCAAAGCUGGCCUCGGCUAGACCGGGGCAUAGGGAGACGCUACCUGAAGCUGGAGAACAAGGAGGACUCCGUGGAGAAACUGCUGGACCAGUUAGAGCAGCAGUGUUCUCAGUGGGAUAAGAGUUUUGGUUCAGGACCUUUCCAGUGACGAAUACCUUACGAUACCUACAGAUACUGAAACAACCAGGGAGUAAUGAUUUUCUUACUAUAAAAACUAUAUUGGCAAAAUUAUUAUUAUUUUUUUUUACAAUAAAAGAGCACCGUUUUGAUGUCUGGAGUUUCUCAGUGGAGCAUCUGAAACUUGAGCCUGUUCUCAAUUUUCAGGGAAAAAUCGAUGCACUGAUGGACUUUGCAUGGGUACGUGUAUAACUGAAGGAGAACAAGAAACAGACCCGAUACCGUCCCUGAUGAAGUAAGCAAAAAAAAAAAAAGUUCAGCUCGGCAGCAGUUAACAGUUUAUUUCCAAAGCCCAUUUCGAGGGUGCAGCAAGAUAGGGUGCUUGUUGUCACUGUGCGGUCCUAUUUGAACCAAAUUACCUGUUCUCCCGGACCAAUGAAUUGUCUCAACUCAUGCAACUAUGCAUGUAUAGGAGUUGUCAGCUGACAUCCCGUUCUACAAAUACAAUGCAUGUCAGUUAUGUAUGUUACAUCUUAAUACUUAUUGCGGAGAAGUGUCUAUGUUGGUUUUACGUGCAAGAGGUAAAUGCUCGUUAUCCCAAUCUAACACAACUUUGGUCGUAAUUGGCAAAGCGUCAAGUACUGUGUCUAUUCCAUUAAACAAAUAUCAGAACAAAACAUAAACCCUCACUGUGACAAAAAAAGAAGUAUACUCGUUGUCAUGCUUAGUUGUAGUUCAAACUAAAAGAUUAGUUAAGAAAUGUAGAACUAGAAUUUCAACAGAACCAAAUAUAAUAGCAAUAGGAUUUUAGUCAGAUAUUCGGACACAGCUUCUCAUCGAUAGCACAAAUAAGACAUCACGAAAGCAAUCGAGAAGGUUUGACCGCUCGUUAGAUUGCGCAAGUGGUCACUUUGUUGUUGCCGGUCAGACUAAAAUUGAAAAUUGAAAAAACAAGCGGUCCAGUUCAGUUCGGUUCACCGCAGUUCUAAAUCCGGAUCAGGCCUACGUGUGGCGAUAGCGUGACACAGCAAAGACAAAACGCUAAAAAGACAACUUUGACAUGAUGCAGUGACAGUUUCGGACAUUAUACACGAAAAAGCGAUCCCCGACAGCGUAAAUGACUCUUUGCCUCACGUUUGCUUUCAGCGCUCUUUUCCGUCCAAUUGUAUUCUUAAAUUAUUACAUACUGUACGUCUAUAUCGAUUCUAUACUGGAGUACCGCAAUACUGUGUAGGCAACAGAUUUCGGGACCCGUCACAAUGGAAAUGAUAUUUAAAAAAAAACAAAAAAAAAACUCUUAAUCAGAUUGUACUGCUUGGUGAUAAGAGCAAAGUUGUAAUAAAGUCAAAUCCCCCUUUAACAAUUACACAAAUGUUUGUCUGUCGGUUGCUUAGGCAGAAUUAGCUUGUCAUGAAAGCUGUGACGCCUUUUCCCUCUGGUCUCAUGCGGAUUUUCUCCCAGUAUUUAUGAGGAGGGUCCUCCCACACUAAAACGCACACACACACACACACACACACGUAAAUAUGCACACACACAUUCUCCCCUAUGAUCCAAUAGACCAAUUGGAUUGUGCAGACGAGGCAAAGCAGCUCCGGCCAGAUGUAGUGAGGUCAUCGCUGCUAAGGAGGACGGAUCCCUGCACGGAAUUGAAGGAAUACUGUAGCUGGAUGGAGUCGUCUUCAACAAGCAGCCGUGAGCCGUCGUCCUCAACAAGAUGGUUCCUUUGACGUCCAGCUCAGAUCCAAACAUCAACGAAAAGGCCAAGGAGCCCGUCGGCAGAGUUUCGCUGGAACCAAAGUCCGUUGUGAGGUUUAACUAACAUGACUAAAACCUGUAAGCAUUUAUCGUACGGGAAGUUGUCUUGCUCUUCCGACGCCAACAAACACUUGAGACGUUCAUGUUAGGGUGAGACAGCACCCAAAGAAGGAAUAUGUUAAGUGCUUUGUUGGCGUGACUCCCUGGCAACCUAGACUCCAAACAAAUGACAUCCCUGCGAGGACAAGUUUUCAAACUUUCUUCUUUGAAACCAUGUACAGAACAGCAAGUCCCCAACAUUAAAAGACGAAAGGCUGAAAAAACAAAAGCGUCUCAGGCUUGCGAGAACCCUCCGGCUCACUUGUUUGUCGGACAGGAAGGAAAAAGAAGGUUGCAGUUCGAUGCGUUAUGUUUUCCACAUCGAAUUGGUCGUCAGCAGUAGCGUGCAAAGGGGCGUGGUGGGGUCGGCUGGUGCGGUGGCCUCGAGCAACCAUUUUGGUUUUGAUUUGUGCUUGUUUUGGUCUUAUGUUAUCAGCUUUGUUAUCAGCAUAACCUUGGAUUUAACAUGCUUGAGGAAUUUCAUAAUCAGGCCAGGGGAUCCUGGGAAAAUAAAGAGAUGUUGGCUGCCACAAUCCAAUAAGCAGCAGAAUGUCGGUAGAUGGAACUGGUAACCUUGCAUGGCAUGCGUUAUGGUUCACAUAAAAGUUACAAAACUCAAUUUGACUUGACAAGCUGAACAUCUCGUGCUGUUUACCAGUCAUAAGAAGAGGUGGCCCGCUCGAGCCUGGCCUUUUUGUUUGGCUCUUAUGCCAAGCUGUUCCCGCUGUCUCUGUCACAGUUGGUCAGCGAGGAUUGGCAAGAGUGGCCCACAACUCUUUGCGCUCGCUCAAUCGCCUUCACCACCAUCAGCCAGAACUGUGCCGCUUGGGCAGCCGUGGCCAAGUGGAUCGCCUCCUGCCACCGUGGGGGUCUCAGUUCAAUCCUUGAUUCCCUGCCAUCGACCACCAGAAGAAGGGGCAAUGGACCAUCCACCCACAGCAUCUUCCUGUGUUGUGCUUGAGCAAGACACCGAUACCCAGAACUGCUCCUUGGGUGCUAAAGUAAUCCCUUGAGUGUGUGCCGUUAUUGUAACUGUGUGUGGGUGUGGUCAGUAAGCGUGUUUGUCUUGACAAUAAAGAUGUUUCUUCUUCAAAACCUAUCCUUUCCCCUUCAAUUAACCAAGUACAGACGACCUUGGAUUAUAUACCUCAUUUCUGGACUAGAAGAAUGAUAAUGAAAAUAUAUUUACACGUUGACGCACGUAGGUCAAAGUCGGGUGACUACGAUUGCGGCAUGCUAAGACACAUAAACGACACGUAAAUAUUGUCUGUCAUUGAGAGCCAUUACGAUGGGAAGUUAUGGUUAUGACUCUUUCUUUUUGUACAUUAAAGUACAUAUACAACAUAUAACGAUGGCCACGAAAACAUGGAUCAAUGUCAUGUAAAAUGCUGCUCUGAAACAGUUUUCAGUUCUCCUGAAAAUAAACAAA